UCCUGCUUGGGGAACAGUCAUGUGUGUCCUGCCCAGAGCCCAAGACACGAGACGGAGAUGCUGUUAAUCCUGCCAGUUCAUAUUGCUCAAAUCAGAAAUGGGGGACUCGCUGGCAAGGUGAGAUGGUGAACUGUAGUUUGAUGUCCCUGCUCUGAAAUAUCUUUCUCCCUUCAUGGAUUGCACAGGUGAUUGCUGUUUCCCCCAUGUAUCUAAUCUAUUAUUUCUUCAGUGUGGUGCAU